UGAGAACAUGGUUGUUGUUCAAUAAUAAAAUUAAUCCUCAAAAAUACAACUUGCCUAAUAAUUCUGCACUCCCUGUAUGUAAAAGCAAACCUACUGUUGGUCGUAUCUUAACUUACAUUCCAGCUCCGACUUCGGAAAGGUUUUAUGAUGUUACCUCGCCUAACAAAUGAAGGAACUCUCCUCCGCUGAUUCUGGUGGUCUCUCAGUCCAAGGGAACCGUGGUGAAGCAAUAAAUGAAAGUCCCACAGGCUUUGGCUAGCAGGCCUGGAUAUACCUUGGACAUUUGGGUGACCCUUGGAUCAAAAGAGGGGAUUGUGAUAGAAUUUAUCUUGAUUCCAAGGCUCAAGCUUAUAGGUGUCAUAUAAUGAUAUCCUAUAUUAAAACUGGCUAACUUGGACUCAGGAAAUGCUUGAUGCUUAAACAACACUUAAGACCAAAUAUGUCUAAGUUCCGGGAGCAGAGAGCCUCCACCUAAGAUGUCUCUGCUCUAAUCAUUUUGUUCUCUCUUACCUUGAAACUUAUUUGUUAUGUGUACAUGACGCUCAUCCCUAUGUCUUAUCUG